AGAAAUAAGAGCUCCUGAGACCCUGCUGGAUACAAAUGCCCUGUACGACCUAAGGGCCUCCACAGCAGGAACAAAAGGAAUUUUGUCUGAGAUUUUAGCAGAAAAGUAAUUUUUGAAAUCUAUUCUUGGAUUUAGACGUUUAUUGGAUUUCAAAGCUUCUUGCUGCCCAGGAGCUUGUGAAUACGGUCAAAGGUCCAUGAAAUUUCCAAAGUGGUACCACAGCAGAUGAACCUGAAUGCAAACUGGAGGGACCAACAGAGUCCAGCCUAUAGACAUAAAUCCUUAACUACACCUAGAUCUCACUGUCUUUUCCAAUGGUCAAAAGAGGGGCUCUUGAAAUGGCUCCAUUGUUUUAUAGAAACAAGGUCUUCCUAAGAAGUCUUUUUCUCCUAUCUUUUUCUUACCCAAAAUAAAGGAAUGGCCCAAAACCUCAAGCCAAGCUUACCAGCUAUAAACAACUUGGUGGUCAGCAGCCAAAAGAAGAGUGGACAUGCCAUGGUCAUGUGGCACGUACCCUAUACAAGCUUCACAGAGAAGAAUGGAAGCACUUGAUUGUAAGACAGAGGGUGAGAUGUGAGAGGAAUAUUAACCUUCACUUUCCACAGGCAUUUUUUUCUGCAAAUGGCACCAGCUUUUGGACUUAAAAUUUUAUUCCAAAUACUAUUUAGAUGCAUCAGGGCCCUCAAAAUAUGGAUUUCAAGUUGGAGACAUCAAAGUGCAUUAUUUACUAAAACCACUGCAGCUUUUUUCCCCUCUCCUUUCACAAGAUGCUAUUGUAAAUUCAGGCUGCUUUAAUCUCUGUGAUUAAAAAAAAAAAGGAAGAAAGAAAAAAAAAGUGCUGCUUGAAGAGGAACUGAACUCACAAUCUGGGAGCUAGAAAUCCUUAGGUCUUCAGCAAAGCUUGGACCACUUGGCAAAGUCUUCUGUCUCCAGAGGAAUGAUGGGAAAACUAUGGGACAAAAGUCAGGAGAGUGGUGCUGGCUGAUCCUGGCCUGGACAUUGACUCCCUGGGGACUUUGGUGCUCUCUCGUGCUCUCUCUGUCUCCAGUGAUAAGCUGACCAGAUGCCUUGAAUUAAGUACAGUAUGCAGCAAUGCCAGCCCUGGACUUUUCCCCAACCUAUCACCCAACCCACUUACCUGGAGCCAAGGGUCACCAACAUCUCUAAUAGAAUCCAACUGUGGAAUAGAAAAACUAUUUCGUCUAAGAAGUGGAUCCUAGCUGUCAAAUAAAAAAUCGCUGUUGAA
rnacentral:lncRNA from 1 species